AGGGUAGAGAGAACACCACGUCACUCUUCCUAGCUCCUGGAUUGGAAAAAGUUCAGCUUCCUCAUCCAUCACCCAAUCCACUGCUUUAAGCCUAAAGUCACUCACUGAAUUCCCCGUGGGCCAGGGUAGUUCUCCUUCCAUAUGUAAAGCCAACAUGAUGUGACAACAUUCUGAUGGCAAACUGAAUGGUAUUUCCUCCAACUCCACAGAAAGCAUCUACUACAAUGUCACAUGCGAAGGACUGACUGACUCGGCCGGCAAUGUGCUCAGCGAUCUUCUCAGGAGUGACUGAGAACCAGCCCUCUGUAAAGGGAGAACAGUUUUGUAAACUGUGUGAUUCCAAGAAUCUAAGCAUGAAAAAGAAUACA